UGAGAAACCCGAAAGAUCGAAUGAAGAGAUUCAUCGUUAAUGAAAUUGGCUACCAUGUGAUAUAUGAUGAGUCAAGAUUUAUUUUGAUUUACAUUAUUACUGUGGUUGUGUCCAAUUACGUCGGCGUGCACUUCUCUUCUAGUAGAACGUCGCGACCCGCUGAGUGUCGUUUUAAGGACCGAGAUUGUCGACUAUACCGUCGCUUUUUGUGUUACGUGUAUAGACACUUGGAUUCCCAAUCGACUGCUCGGCGGUAUGUUUAAUGGUAUUGAGCCGCACUUGAAUGCGUUCAGACUUGUUGCAAGCUUGAUCAUAUAUAUGCCUGGAGUGCGGACCUAGUGCCGUCCUAGGCAAUGAUUAGCUGUUGGUUAACAAUGUUCUCGAACUGGCUUAAUUAUGCAAUACAGCAAUACCAGUCAGCGACGCUAUUGCUUUGGGUACUUUCAGGACCCGUCUUGAAACACGGACCAAGGAGUCUAACAUGUACGCGAGUCAUUGGGAUUAUUAAAACCUAAAGGCAUAUUGAAAGAGAAGAUCGGUCUUGUGCCGAUUAAGGGAGGAUAAGUUAAUAAUAAAAUAUAGCUUCGCACUCCCGGGGCGUCUCUUAAAGUCAUUACGACUUGAGGUGCACCCAGAGCGUACACGUUGGGACCCGAAAGAUGGUGAACUAUGCCUGGUCAGGAUGAAGUCAGGGGAAACCCUGAUGGAGGUCCGUAGCGUAUCUGACGUGCAAAUCGAUCGUCGGAACUGGG
rnacentral:rRNA from 1 species